rnacentral:misc_RNA from 1 species
AAGCUUUUCUGGAAGUGUGAAGAUCUCAAAGAAAAAAUGAAAAAUGGGGUUGUGGACUUGUCAGUGGCAUGCAGAACUAUAUUAGCAUUUUUCCAAGAACUUGAGUUAGACUCUCCAAGAAGCAUGGAAAAUGGGGAAGGUGGACGACUGAUAGCUCCACAGGAGGCUUGCACCCGCAUUGCCGAUGUGGUACAGGAAGCCAUAAGAAAAAUGGAAAUAGUGGCUGAUGAAAAAAAGAGGAGAUACAAAAAAGCACGAAUGGACGUGGAGGCAUUUGAGCGUGAGGUUGAGGACAAGACCAGGGAAGCAGCAGAAUUAAAGCUGGAGAAACAGAGAAA